AAACUACUUUUAAAUUAAACCACAUUAAUUCAUCACACACAAUUAUGGCUUGCAUUCACCAUCACUGUAUUUUUAAAACUCAAUUCCAAUCUCUCAAAUAAACUAUAACAAGAAUUGGUAUAGUCCGAAGCUGAGCUGAUGAUGCUAAGCGGUAGCUGGUGUCAGAGGAUGCUAACUGUUUAUUUUUGUAAGUGCAAUAAAAUGAAAAGGACAAAACCCAAAGAGGAAAGACGAAAAAAAGAAACGUGAAAAGGACAAAGCGUGCGGCUACAGAGUCAUAAAUACAGUUUUGCAGAUAAGGCUGUUGAUGGGGGGUUCUCCUGCGUCUCCUGAAGUGGCGUCUGCCCUGACUUUUAAUGACCCGCCUUCAGUACAAUGCAGAGAAGGAGAUUAGAAGCUGCAGAACAUCCGACGGAUUUGAAUGCCAACAGCACUAAAUUACCAAGUCCUUGAGGAGCCCGGGGAAGAGCGCGUGUCAUCGGUAACGCUUUGGACGAAAGACGUGGAUUUAGUGUUUGUCGCUGUGGAACAGGAGAUAUGUGUGACGUCUGUGUUUGUGGAGGAUGCAUGUGUAACUGCAUGCUCUGGGUUGUGUGCUCCGGUGAAUAAAGAUCACGCUUGGACGUUGA